rnacentral:rRNA from 1 species
UCGCGGCCUAUCAGCUUGUUGGAGAGGUAACGGCUCACCAAGGCUUCGACGGGUAGCUGGUCUGAGAGGAUGAUCAGCCACACUGGGACUGAGACACGGCCCAGACUCCUACGGGAGGCAGCAGUGGGGAAUCUUGCGCAAUGGGCGAAAGCCUGACGCAGCAACGCCGCGUGAGGGAUGAAGGCUUUCGGGUUGUAAACCUCUUUCAGCAGGAACGAAAUUGACGGUACCUGCAGAAGAAGCUCCGGCCAACUACGUGCCAGCAGCCGCGGUAAUACGUAGGGAGCAAGCGUUGUCCGGAUUUAUUGGGCGUAAAGAGCUCGUAGGCGGCUUAGCAAGUCAGGUGUGAAACCUCCAGGCUCAACCUGGAGACGCCACUUGAGACUGCUAUGGCUGGAGUUCGGUAGGGGACCAUGGAAUUCCUGGUGUAGCGGUGAAAUGCACAGAUAUCAGGAGGAACACCGAUGGCGAAGGCAGUGGUCUGGGCCGAUACUGACGCUGAGGAGCGAAAGCGUGGGGAGCGAACAGGAUUAGAUACCCUGGUAGUCCACGCCGUAAACGUUGGGCACUAGGUGUGGGGGGUAAUCAACGCCUUCCGCGCCGUAGCUAACGCAUUAAGUGCCCCGCCUGGGAGUACGGA